UAGGGAAUCUUCCACAAUGGGACGCAAGUCUGAUGGAGCAACGCCGCGUGAGUGAAGAAGGUUUUCGGAUCGUAAAGCUCUGUUGUUGGUGAAGAAGGAUAGAGGCAGUAACUGGUCUUUAUUUGACGGUAAUCAACCAGAAAGUCACGGCUAACUACGUGCCAC
rnacentral:rRNA from 1 species